ncrna:unclassified sequences L2-Alphaproteobacteria ribosomal protein leader
UGGGACCUUCGGGGCCCUUCACUUCAGGCACCCUGCAAGGGGCGCCGCCAAGCAAACGGAAGACAGAAA